rnacentral:tRNA from 1 species
UCCCUGGUGGCUCAGUGGUAAAGAAUCUGCCUGCAUUGCAGGAGACCCAGGUUUGACCCCUGGGUUGGGAA